CUGAGGGGGAGUGAUGUUCGUCCCUCCUUGGUAGGAGGGUGGAGCUCCGUGGCAUGAGAUUCCCACGACUGACAGCGGGCACGGGGCGAUACAACAAGUUCCCUUCUCAUCAGCGCAGCAUUUGCUACUUUCAAGCCAGCUGUUCCUAAGGCCCCUUUGCCCUGCCCUUCCCUCCCCUGCAAAACUCCUCGUUCCUGAGCAUGUUCCUCAGUCUCUACCCCCAAAACAUUUUCAGAAGGCACUAUAUCAAUGUUUAAAAAGGCAAUACAUCAAAAAUAAAACAGUACUGUUUCUCCCAAGAUAUAAAAGAACUGCCUUGCACUAUAGAGCAUUUAGAAAAUACCAAAAGUAUGGUAGGGCUCAUAAAUGCUCAGAGGUGCGGAUAAUGUCUGCUAAUGAAAUAUAUUCUCCCAGCAUUUCUUCCCUGUGCAUGAACCCACCCCCACCCCCACCCCAUCCAGGUAGCAGGAUUGGGGCUUUUAAAAUGGGCGAGGCUCGAAACCCAUUUGAGUGAUGGCUCUCUGCCCUCGGGAGCCAGAAAGUCUCUAUUUUCUUUUUGCCAAGUGGAUGGACCAUGGUCUGAAGCUCGCCUCCAGCCAGGGAGCUCAGAGACCUUACAGCAGCACACUGCAUCUCUCCCCAAACAGAUGGAGGAAGCUAGAAAUGCGGGCUACGUCCUGAUUGAUUUUCUAAGUGGGCUACUGCAUUGCUUGUCCACCAAGGUCACCUAAGAAUCCCUGGGAGUGUUAAAAAAUCUCCACAGCCUGGGCCCCACCCCAGGCCACUUGGAUCUGAAUUGUUGGGGCUGCUGGGAUUAUCUGUGUUUGUUUUUCUGAUGUUCCUCAGCUGAUUCUGUUGAAGCAGGCAGAGAACUAUCCACUGUAUGCCCACAAGUUAGAGACGGGAGAGGUUUCCUCCAGCUCUGCCUUCGGAGCCUGAUCAGGCGAUGUGACUAUUUGCAGUUGGCAGAUUUUCACUCCCUUUAUUUUCUCUGCUGCUCAGAGUCAUCCUUAGAUCCUCAUUUUACAGCAGGAGGACCGAGGCCAAGGAGAUCAGGAGACUUACCGGAGGGCACACAGCUAGGACGUGGCGGAGCUGGGGUUUAGAUCUGUGGCUCCUGACUACCAAGGCAAAGAGCCCUGUGUCAUCGCAGAAAGGCAGCCUUGGACCUCGAAUGCAUUUGGAGCCCUAUCCCUGAUGACCUGGCCACUGCAGAGGCGUGUCUGGAGCAUCUGCGAGGAAAGAGGCAUUCAUUUUUUGUGGAGUUGCCAAGUUGACAGAAGUUGCCAAGCUUGGAACUACUGGUGGCCACCCUGUUCUCUACUUGAAGAUAAAGCCAACAAGGAGUAAAGAGAGCUAAGAGAAGGCGAGUGCACCCACUGUCCAGACAUCAGUAAGCCCCUGGAUUGAGCCAUACCUGAAGCCAGCUGCACCUCUGGACUGACCUGAUUAUAUGAGCCAAUGCAGUUUUUUCCCCAACACUACCCGGAGUUGGGUUUCUGUCUUAGAAAGGGUCCUAAUAAAGGCAAUGUUUUCCUUUGAUCUCAUUUUUAAAAAGUCAGCUUUGAGGUAUCCUUUACAUGCAAUAGAUUCCACCCAUUUUAAGUGUCCAAUUCAUAAGUUUUGUCAGACAUGUACACCCCUGCAACUACCACCACCACCAAGACUAAUUCAAGUUCCCUCCUUCCUCUAACCUCAGCCAACCACUGACCUACCUUUGUUCUAGAGAUUCAUUUUCCCUUUUCUACAACUUCAUAUAAAUAUCAUAUAGUGUGCUCUUUUGUGUCUGGCUUCUUUUAGUCAACAUGGUUUGGAGAUGUAUUCAUGUUGCGUGCACAGUUCAGUCCUUUUUAUUGCCAAGUAAUGUUCUAUUGU